AUUGAACGCUGGCGGCAGGCCUAACACAUGCAAGUCGGACGGUAGCACAGAGGAGCUUGCUCCUCGGGUGACGAGUGGCGGACGGGUGAGUAAUGUCUGGGGAUCUGCCCGAUAGAGGGGGAUAACCACUGGAAACGGUGGCUAAUACCGCAUAACGUCGCAAGACCAAAGAGGGGGACCUUCGGGCCUCUCACUAUCGGAUGAACCCAGAUGGGAUUAGCUAGUAGGCGGGGUAAUGGCCCACCUAGGCGACGAUCCCUAACUGGUCUGAGAGGAUGACCAGCCACACUGGAACUGAGACACGGUCCAGACUCCUACGGGAGGCAGCAGUGGGGAAUAUUGCACAAUGGGCGCAAGCCUGAUGCAGCCAUGCCGCGUGUAUGAAGAAGGCCUUCGGGUUGUAAAGUACUUUCAGCGGGGAGGAAAGCGAUAAGGUUAAUAACCUUGUCGAUUGACGUUACCCGCAGAAGAAGCACCGGCUAACUCCGUGCCAGCCGCCGCGGUAA
rnacentral:rRNA from 1 species